rnacentral:rRNA from 1 species
AGUCAACGUUGGCGGCGUGCGUAACACAUGCAAGUCGAACGACCCCUAGAUGGCUUGCCAUCUUGGGAGAGUGGCGAACGGGUGAGUAACACGUGAGUAAUCUGCCCUCGAGUGAGGAAUAACUUCGCGAAAGCGGAGCUAAUACCGCAUGACACUAUGAAGCAUAAGCUUUUAUAGUCAAAGCCUUCGGGCGCUUGAGGAUGAGCUUGCGACUUAUUAGCUAGUUGGUAGGGUAACGGCCUACCAAGGUUAUGAUGAGUAGCCGGCCUGAGAGGGUGUCCGGCCACACUGGAACUUAGACACGGUCCAGACUCCUACGGGAGGCAGCAGUGGGGAAUUUUGCGCAAUGGGCGAAAGCCUGACCCAGCAACACCGCGUGGGGGAUGAAGGCCUUCGGGUCGUAAACCCCUUUUCCCAGGGAAGAAUAAUGACGGUACCUGGGGAAUAAGUCUCGGCUAACUACGUG